UGGCGGCGCGCUUAACACAUGCAAGUCGAGCGAGAACCAGGCCUUCGGGCCUGGGGACAGCGGCGAACGGGUGAGUAACACGUGGGUAAUCAACCCUCGAUACUGGGAUAGCCCGGGGAAACCCGGAUUAAUACCGGAUGGCCCUUUGGAUCCUCGGAUCUGUAGGAAAAGGUAGCUUCGGCCUCCGAUCGAGGACGAGCCCGCGGCGGAUUAGCUUGUUGGUGAGGUAACGGCCCACCAAGGCGACGAUCCGUAGCUGGUCUGAGAGGACGAUCAGCCACACUGGGACUGAGACACGGCCCAGACUCCUACGGGAGGCAGCAGUGGGGAAUCUUGCGCUAAUGCGGGAAACCGUGACGCAGCGACGCCGCGUGAGGGAAGAAGGCCUUCGGGUUGUAAACCUCUUUCAGGAGGGACGAAGCCACUCGGGU
rnacentral:rRNA from 1 species